rnacentral:lncRNA from 13 species
GCAAAAGCCAGCACCUGAGAAGGACGAAGUCAUAGACAAGGCUGGGAGCGAGCACAAGACUGUUCAAACACAAAGAACAAAAUUACUCUCAAAAGAGAAGAUUUAAAAUGUAAAGAAAAUAACACUGCAGUUAAAUAGCUGCAAUGAGAUGCCAGGUUCUGUUGCAUAUGUGGAGAAGUGGCAAGGAGAAGACAGUUAGAAUCGGUGUGGAGUAUGGGCGUGUGAUUGCAGGCAUACAAUGGGGAAGCAGGUGGGUCGGGGCACGAGGUGGUACAUUUUAAAAAGCAUUUAAAUUUUAAUUCUGAAAAUUAAGAAAGAAACUUAUAUUUAAAAAUUACAAUGGCCGGGCACGGUGGCUCAAGCCUGUAAUCCCAGCACUUUGGGAGGCCGAGGCGGGUGGAUCACGAGGUCAAGAGAUCGAGACCAUCCUGGUCAACAUGGUGAAACCCCGUCUCUACUAAAAAUACAAAAAAUUAGCUGGGCAUGGUGGUGAGUGCCUGUAAUCCCAGCUGAGGCAGGAGAAUUGCCUGAACCCAGGAGGAGGAGGUUACAGUGAGCCGAGAUGGUGCAAUUGCACUCCAGCUUGGGUAACAAGAGCGAAACUCCGUCUCAAAAAAAAAAAAAAAAAAACUUUCAUAAAAAUAGAUUCACACUGAGUAUAUUAUUCCCCAGGUUGCUUUCCAUUCAAGAGCACAUUUAGGAGUUGUUUCUAUGGUUGUAUAGUCAUAUCUCAUUUUUAACUCCUACGUAGUACUUCAUAGUAUGAAUAUGCCAUGAUUUAUUUACAUAUUCCUUUCUAAUGGGUUGUUUAUAAUAUUUUAAUUUAUUAAAGCUAUUUACAUAUUAUCAAUAUCAAACCUGCAUCUAUUUAUUUUUUGAAUUUUAUUUUUUAAUUUUAACUUUAAUUUUUUAAUUCAAUAGCUUUAGGAGUCCAAGCAGUUUUUGGUUACGCGGAUGAACUGCAUAGUGGUGAAGUCUGAGAUUUUAUUGUACCCAUCACCCAAGUAGUGAAUGUUGCACCUUAUAAGUAGUUAUUUAUCCCUCACGUUCACCCAUCCUCCCCCCUUCUGAGUCUUCAGUGUCCACUACACUACUCUAUAUGCCUUUGCAUACCCAUAGCUCAGCUUCCACUUAUAAGUGAGAACAGGCAAUGUUUGGUUUUUCAUUCCACUCACCAGUUACUUCACUUUGGAUAAUGGACUAUAGUUCAGUAAAAGUUGCUGAAAAAGACAUUUCAUUCUUUUAUGGCUGAAUAGUAUUACAUGGUGUAUACACACACACAAACACACACACACACACACACACACACCAUACCUUUCCAAUUGUGAACUGUGCUUUGAUAAACAUACACGUCCAACUGUCUUGAUUUAAUGACUUCUUUUCCUUUGGGUGAUACACAGUAGAGGGACUGCUGGGUUGAACGGUAGAUUUACUUUCAGUUCUCUGAGAAAUCUCCAAGCUGUUUUCCAUAGAGACUGUGUUAAUUUACACCCCCACUAACAAUGUAUGAAUGUUCACUUUUCAUCACAUCCAUGCCAACAUCUAUUGUUUUUUGACUUUUUAUUUUAUUUUUGAAAGUCGAUAAAGUUUUAUUUAAGGAAUUCCAUGUUGUGAUUUCUUCCACUGGCCAUCAAGGUCACAUUAGAUCCUCUAAAGAGCUGGAGUGAAAAGAUUUAU